AGAAGUGACUAAUACUGGCUUGAAAUUGCGUUGCUUUCCCUCUCGACUCCAUCUAAAAUUUAUUGUCCUCUAACAGGGUACCUAAUCACUUAAUUUGUUUUCUCAGUUAUAUAUAGAGGCUGUUUGUCCAAUUUUUUCAUUUAUUUUCUUUUAUAUGAAUUGAGUAGAUUCGUAAAUGGGGGAGCGUUGCAGUGGGACAUACAUUCUCCACCAAGAGAGCCUUUCAACUUGGAGCAUUGCAAAAGGCAGGCCGCUUCUAUUAUGUUGCUGAAGGUAUCAAAUUGUGAUGAGCUAUGGGUUGUAAUUCUCAAGGAGAUCUAGAGGUAGGCUUAUAUUAUCCUUCUUAAAUUGUGUAAGUAAUCCUUAAACUCUAUGCACCUCAAGAAGGUGAGGUCCUCACAAAGAACAAGAGGUAAAAGUUUAUGAAGUAAUCUAUUUGAUUUUAACUGCAGUCCCCUUCCUAUGAUUAAAAUUUGUGGAACCUUUUCAUUUUACUUUACUUGUUAAGAGUUUACAUUGUGUAAUUAACUUGAGUUCGGCCUGCCCUGACUAGUCAAUGGGUCGUUAACGUGGGUCCUCCCUCUUUUGUGGUGCCGGAGUUAUCAUGGUGAAUCUAGUAGUUUAUUCCGUUUAGAUUCUAUAAUACUUCAAAGCAUGUAUUAAUUUUACUAACCCACAAAUACUACAUAUCCAUUAAUGUCAUGCUUUAAUUUGAUUUAUAUUUUUAUAUAAGUAUUUUGAUUUUCUUUGCACUAUUCGUUUUGGCGAGGACACAAAUUUACCACCGACGUGAUUAGAUGGACGCCUCUAAUAGGAUUCCUCAAUACAAGUAAACUCCACAUAUAAAUCUCAGUAGGUACGUUUAUAGACUUACAAAUACUAUGAUUGCCUUAUUCAUAAUUUGAUUUUCUUUAUAUUUUAUAUAAGGUAUUUGAUUUUCAUGGUACUUGUUUGGUUUUGCAGCAUUAAUCUGGUUCUCUUCUCUUUGUUGGUGGUCGUCCGGAGUCAUCAGGGUGCAUCUAAGUAGUUUAUUUUCGUUAGGUUCAUCUCACGAAAUAAGGUACGAUUUACUAGACCUACAAAUACUAUAAGUACCUUUUGUCAUAUUUGAUUUUACUUUACUCUAGAUGUUUAUAUAGGCAUUGUAAUUUUGUUGAACUUGUUUUGGUUUUGUGAGACCCACACGAUUGCUUGGCUGCCCGACUGAUUUGAUGGGCCCCUCAUAGGAUUUACCCGGCCCUUCUAAAACUCUCAAAUAUAACUCUCAACACGCCAAAUACUAAGUAUUGAGCAUUGCAUUAAAUUUUUGUAUAUUUAUCUCUUGAGGGCUAUCGCUAGUCAACUUUGGACUAAAGUGGCCUAGGGCCCGGCCACAGCCAUGACAUUACCCUGGUUCUCUUUUAUAGUUUUGGAAAAUAGUCCUUCCAAUUUGGCCUCGAUCAUUACAUGUAAUAGGUGAUAUACAAAAAAUAAAUUAUUUCUAAUGUAACCUUUGUUGUAAAGUAAGUUGACUCCUUUUACUCUAUUACUUAGAAUUUUGCGUAUGAGAAACAUUGCCUUUUAUUGACUUUCUUAUUUUGGACAGGUAAUAUUUAGAUUAACCAUCGGACAUGAUUGGAAGAUUUAACUAAUUGGAAUAUCUUGGCCCUACUAAAGCCCUCAUGUAUAUGAUGUUCACCUCCAAAAGUUUUCAGUAUAAAGUAUUGUAUAAAAGUUUUUAUAUUUAUCUUUGCAAUAUAGUGGUUGUCUUUAUUAUGUUUUAAAAUACUUUUAACUACAUUAACUUCAUAUUUGUGUACGAUGAACACUUCCUUUAUUCACUGCUUGCUUAAGUGCAGAAUGACGACCAUCGACAUUGAUUGCAGAACCACAUGAAUCAUAGCCCAUAAGUAAAGCCUUAUAUCGAGAUCACAUCUCUAAAGGGGUUAAGUUAUGAGAAGUGUGUUCAUUUCUCUCUCUAAUAUAUAUUCUCAUAGGCUAAAAUAACUUGAGUUCGGAGUGCCCCGACUAGUCACAGGGUAUUACCCGGGUCCAACUUUUGUAGGUGUCGGAAAUCUUCUGGUAGAUCUAGUAAGUUUAUUCAUUUAUGUUCUAUCAUCACGUAAGCAAUACGAUUUAUUAAACCUACAACUACUAUGAGUACCUGAUGUCAUACUUUGAUUUUGCGUUAUAUUUUUACAUAAGGUGUUUUGAUUUUCUUAUACUUGUUUAUUUUUGCGAGGACUAAUACGAUUGACUAUCGGACUUGAUUAGAUGAACCCCUCUAAUAGGAUCCCUCGGCCCAAGUAAAACUCAAAUAUAAAUCUCAAUAUUUCCAAAUACUAAGGGGAUUUGCAACAAUGCAUAAAUUUUUUAAAUAUUUAUCUUAUUGAGGGCUAUCGUAACUAGAGCAUUGGAUUGUCUCUCGCCGCCACCGCCAAUGCAUUACCACCCAGUUCUUUUUUGUAGGUUUUAGCAACUAGUCCUUCCAUUAGUCCUUAAGUCCUCCAUGUAAUAGGUAAACAACAAAAUACAUAUGUUUGCCUCUAUUGUAGUAUUGACUACUUUUUAACUAUAUUCCUGAGGAUUACGUAUAGAAAUAUUGAUUUUGUUUGACUUUCUUUGAUUUGGACAGGUCGGUUAAUUGACCAUAGGACGUGAUUGGAAGGAUGUACUAAAAGUGAUCCUUGGCCCUACGUCAACUCCUCGUGUAUGUGAUUUACACCUCAAAGAGUUUAAGUAUAAAAUAUGGUAUAAAAUUUUUUAUAUUUUAUCUUUGAAAUAUAGUGGCUGCUUUGUUAUUUUUUACUACUUUUAACUUUUACUACAUAUUUGUGGUACGAGCAACACGUUCCUUUCACUUGUUUGCUUUCGCGCACGAAUUACUACCAUCAAACUUGAUUAGAUGGACCCCGUGAAUUGUAGCCCUAAGUAAAAGUACUUAUAAUCUAGAGAUCCACAACUUUUAGGGUUAAGGAAUGAAUUCGUGCGUUACAGUAUAUUAUAUAUAUAUAUAUAUAUGUAUUCCUCAUAGGCUAUAUUAUUUGAGUUCGGUGGUGUCAUCCGACUAGUCUAGGAAUUAAUCGGGUCCCUCUUUUGUAGGUGUCAGAGUCAUCAUAAUUGAUCUAGUGUUUUAUUAGUUUCAGAUUUUAUCAUCACUUAAGUAUGUACAUUACUAAACCUCCAUUACUACUAGUGCCUUAUGUCAUACUUUAUUUUGCUUUUAUUUUUUUUUUUUUUUUUUUAAUAAGGUGUUUUUGAUUUUCUUGUCACUUGUGGUUUUUAACGAGGACCAACACGAUUACUACCGUCCUUGAUUAGAUGGAACCCCCUAAUAGGGUGCCUUGGCCCAAGUAAAACUCAAAUCUAAUCUCAACACUCCAAAUCUAAGGUAUUAGAACAAUUCAUUACUUCGUAUAUUUAUCUUAUGAGGGAUAUCGCUAACUACUUGGGCCGCUGGGCAUCGGAUUAGCACAUCCAACCACUCGGCCGUAGACAUGUUUCCGCGGUUUCUCUUUUUGUAGGUUUUCGGACACUAGUCCUUCCAUUUGUCCCCCUUGAUCUCACAUUACGUAGGUAAAUAUACAAAAUUACCAUAUGUACCCCUAUUGGCAAUAGUUUGACUACUUUUAACUAUAUUACUUAGGAUAAUAGUAAUGAGAAACAUUGAUUUUUUUGACUUAUUUGUUUUUGAUAGGUAUGGUUUUAGAUUGUCCCGCGGAAUGAUUGACGGAUUUCCUCAAUGGGAUGCUUGGCCCUACCUAAGCCCUAUGUUAUAAUGAUGUCACCUCAAAGAUUAAAUAGAAAUUGUAUAAAUAUUUUUAUAUUUUAUCUUCAAUAUAGUGACUUUCUGUUAUUUUUUAACUACUUUUAACUACUUACUUCGUAUUUUGUGUACAAAGAAACACUUCCCCUUAUUCGCUAGCUUGCUUUGGGGCGGCCGAAUAACUACCACAGACUUGAUUGGUGGACCACGUGAAUCGUAGCCCUCGGUAAAGUCCUCUUAUCUAGAGAUUCACAAUUUUAAGGGUUAAGGUAUGAAUUCAUGCGUUAUAAUUAGGUUAUAAUUAAUUUGAGUUCGGAGUGCCACCGACUAGUCACAGGACAUUAACCGGGUCCUCUUUUGUAGGUAUCAGAGACAUCGUGAUGGAUCUAGUAGUUUAUUCGUUCUAGUUCUACCAUCACUUAAGUAGGUAUGAUUUUCUAAACCUCCAACUACUACGAGUACCUUAUGUCAUACUUUGAUUUGCUUGAUAUUUUAUUACAUAAGGUGGUUUUGACUUUAAUUUGGCACUAGUUUUGGUUUUGCUAUGACUACCGUAUUUGAUUAGAAGGACCCUCCAUAAUAGGAUGCCUCGGCCCAAGUAAAAAACUCAAAUAUAAUCAUCAUGAUUCUAAAUACUAAGGUAUGAGCAAUGCAAUUAAUUUUUGUAUAUUUAUCUAGGGAGGGGCUAGCGUGCACUUGGGCAAUCGUAUGGCCUCGGCCUGCACCAGUUGAGACAUUUCCCUUUCCCGGGUUCUCUUUUAUAGGUUUCGUACUUAGUCCUUCCAUUUGGUCCUUGAUCGUCACAAUAAAAAAGGUGUACGAUUGUGUCUACUCUGAUUUUUAGUGUUGCUCAUAUGUGUAGACUGUAAUAGCUGUUUCUCUCUUAGCCUGGUGGGGGAAAACACUUGCAAUCACUUUGGAUUGGGUGAUCAGGAGUGAAAAGAAAAUAAAUUGUAUCUCUCUUCUCCAAUAUCACGUGUUUGAGAUGACUAAAAGAGGAUAGAAAUGGGGAGAUAACCGAAAGAAGUUUAAGAGAUUAUAUGUUUUUCUCUUAAGCCCAUGCCACUUGUUGAAUCUCUCCAAUAGUGGAGAUUUGGAGAGAAAGAACUCGACAUUUUUAUAAAUUUUUUUAACUAUGCCUCUCAAUAUAAAAGAGUACAACAGAAAAAAUAUGAAAUGUUUUAUUUUGGUAAAUAACAUUAGGUUCUUGUAUUUACUUUCUCUUACAUACGGUAAACGCAAACAAUACCCAACA
rnacentral:lncRNA from 1 species